GAUGAACGCUGGCGGCGUGCCUAAUACAUGCAAGUCGAGCGAACAGACGAGGAGCUUGCUCCUCUGACGUUAGCGGCGGACGGGUGAGUAACACGUGGAUAACCUACCUAUAAGACUGGGAUAACUUCGGGAAACCGGAGCUAAUACCGGAUAAUAUAUUGAACCGCAUGGUUCAAUAGUGAAAGACGGUUUUGCUGUCACUUAUAGAUGGAUCCGCGCCGCAUUAGCUAGUUGGUAAGGUAACGGCUUACCAAGGCAACGAUGCGUAGCCGACCUGAGAGGGUGAUCGGCCACACUGGAACUGAGACACGGUCCAGACUCCUACGGGAGGCACCAGUAGGGAAUCUUCCGCACUGGGCGAAAGCCUGACGGAGCAACGCCACGUGAGUGAUGAAGGUCUUCGGAUCGUAAAACUCUGUUAUUAGGGAAGAACAAAUGUGUAAGUAACUAUGCACGUCUUGACGGUACCUAAUCAGAAAGCCACGGCUAACUACGUG
rnacentral:rRNA from 1 species